rnacentral:rRNA from 1 species
CCUACGGGGGGCAGCAGUGGGGAAUAUUGCACAAUGGGCGAAAGCCUGAUGCAGCAACGCCGCGUGAGCGAUGAAGGCCUUCGGGUCGUAAAGCUCUGUCCUCCAGGAAGAUAAUGCCGGUACUUGUGGAGGAAGCCCCGGCUAACUAGGUGCCAGCAGCCGCGGUAAUACGUAGGGGGCUGCCGUUAUCCGGAAUUACUGGGCGUAAAGGGUGUGUAGGUGGUUUCUUAAGUCAGAGGUGAAAGGCUACGGCUCAACCGUAGUAAGCCUUUGAAACUGGGAAACUUGAGUGCAGGAGAGGAGAGUGGAAUUCAAGGUGUAGCGGUGAAAUGCGUAGAUAUUAGGAGGAACACCAGUUGCGAAGGCGGCUCGCUGGAUUGUAACUGACACUGAGGCACGAAAGCGUGGGGAGCAAACAGGAUUAGAUACCCGAGUAGUC